rnacentral:lncRNA from 1 species
CCUGAUAUCCUGAAAAAGCUGUCACACUCCCAGAGAGUUGCGCUCCUGGGUGCCUCUCCACAAAGGAGAGAAACUGAGUCCGAGGGAUGUCAACAUGCCAAGUCCAUGGAAAUAUCAGUGGGCUGGAAUUCUAGCUGCCUGAAAGAAGACAUUCCUCACACAAGACCUCACAAUCAUAUCCAUGGAAUUAUAGCACUGGGCUCUCCAGAUGGUGCUACAGGAAGACCUCCAGAAAUUUGACAAUCCUCUAUUCAAGGCCCUACCACAGAGACACACAGGAACGGAACUCAGAAUCACAAACAAAGAAACUUUGAUCCAAGAAAGAAAAUGAUCUUUAAAAAGACCCUCGUUUCAUGCUGGCCGAUGCUGAGAAAAUCUGCUCUGAAGGAUAUUUGGAGACACUGAUUAAAAGAUGGUUGUCCCAGUGGAGGGGGAUUCUUCGUGUUACGUAGAUAGGAAGCACGAUGCAAAAGUGUUGAAGCAGGAGUGUAAAGAAUAAUUAAAACACCUGCCCAAGACCCAAGCAAGGAUAGGAUUUCCCAGACAUUCGUGAGGGAGAAAAUGCCAUGUCCUUUCCUUCUGGUGUCACAUCAGAAUCUGAAGGCUGCUAGAGAAGGGAGAGAAACAUGAAAGUGAGUCCCAUGCUGAUUGUUGUUGAAAUACCUGGAAAGAAACUGGCAAAGACUAUCCAAGGGAUGCUAAGACAUGUCCGAACUUACAAAACAGUAGAACCUGAAUAGGAAUUUGAAGUUGUCUAUACUCUCCUCAGCCACACCCUGCCAUUUUACAGAUUGUCUUCUCUGGGGAAGUUAGCUGUCAUGUUGUGAGGAUACUCAAGCAGUUUAUAAAGAGGUUCAUGUCGCAAGGAAUGGAGGCCUCCUGCCAACAGCCAUGUAAAGGAGCCAUCUAGGAAAUAGAUUCUCCAGCCCCAGUCAGACCUUCAGAUGAUUACAGCCCCUACCAACCUUCUGACUGCGGUGGAAGGAAGGUUCCGGAACCAGAACCACCCAGGUUAAUGUGGGUAAGUCUCAUCCAAUCCUUUGAAGGCCUGAAGAACAAAGAGUGAGGUUUCUGGAAGAAGAAAAUUUUACCUCAAGCCUGCAAUGUAGAAAUUCUGCUUGAGUUUCCCGCCUGCUGGCCUGCCCUGUGGAAUUCGGAGUCAAGAAGGAGUCUUGUAAGCAUUAACUGAGAUAGUAUAUGAAGAGUGCUUUUGCACCGAGUGAACCUUCAAUCAACUGUACUAGUUUGUAUGCCUGGAAGAGCUGCUAUAUGGGAUCAGAAAGAAAAAUAAGGUGCAUACGCCAGAAAAAAAAUACUUGCAUAUGAGUACUAGGAGAUGCAUGACAAUGUUCACGGCAGCAGUAUUCAUGGCAGUGAAAAAUGAAAAGAACUGAAAUGCCCAUUGAUAAAAACGUCUACUUAUUUGUGUCAUCUUUGCACAGUGGAAUUGUGCGAGUGGAAAUGAUUGAUCUACAGCUAGGAGAAGCAGCAGAGCUCAAUCUCAAAAACAUAACGUUGUGUGGAAAAAGCUAACCUCAGAACACUUUGCGGCUCUAUCUUAGCAAACCAGGAGAGAAAUUCUCCUGAUGGCCUUGAAGAAGCAAACAGCCACCUGGUUAAGCCCCUGUGGAUAGUGCCAAGUGGCAGGAAAGUGGGAGCCACCUCUAGGACCUGAGGAUUAAAGUCAGUAAGAGCUGGGACCUCACUCAUGCAGACUCGAGGACAUGAAUUCGACCAACAACUUGAAUGAGCUUGGAAGUGGAUUCUUCCCUAGUCCAGUCUUCAGAAAUUAAGAAUGUUCCCAAAGAAUGAUGGAGACAUUUCAAAAGGAUACGGAAGCCAGAUUGUGGGCGCUUCUACUGGCCAACUCUGGGACAUCGUGGACAUCAAAAUAAAUUUGUAAUAAUAAAGGAUUAUAGCCUAUUAGUUAAAUCAGAAAAAUCUGAUUUAACUAAAUGAGUAGGAGGAAAAGAAAGCUCUUCCUUAUAUUAGAAAGUCAAUUAAUAAAUGCAGAAAGGAAUGAAAAAAUUAGAAAAGCCACCAUUUGGCAACCAUGGCAGGCAGAAUGGGGAGUAUGCCUCCAGACAGUAAUUCCUUUCAAACUGGUUUAUAGGAACUCACUGAGCUUGCUGAUCGACCUCUGAGAGGCAAAGUUUCUGAAUUAUGAAGUACUGAUUAUAUAAACUUAGACAGAGACAUGCUUCAUUAUUUAAUAGGACUGUGUCAAAAGCCUACUAUUAGGAUGAUGUGUUGGGUGUGGAACAGGGUCUCUUCCUGCCAGGAACACUGGUGAUUUCACUCCGUGUUCAGGCUGAUCUUUGAAGUUGAAGACAAGCAGAAGAAUCCUUCUAAAAUUUAGCCAUGCCCAUAGGCUGGGAGGGACACUGCUCCAUUCAGAGGCAGCAAAGCACAUUACUGUAUCUCCUAUAGAGCUUUGAGCAGUCCAGUGUACAUGGAGAAACUUAGUAAAUGUUGUUGAAUUAGUGAAUGAACAAAUCAAUGGACCAAGUCAGGGGUAAGUCUUACAUUUGUCAUCUAGGUGAUUAAGAAAGGAAAAAGUAUCUGUUUCAAGAGGAUUACAAUCUAACUGUACUCCAAUAGUAAAAUUUACUCUUUUGGAAUCUGA